rnacentral:misc_RNA from 1 species
CACGGAUUCACACGUUAAAACAAUCAAAUAAGUAAAAUAAAACACUACACUGCUGCCAUAAAUGAAACUGGAGGUCCCAUAACACACUCUCUUUGACAAUACUCUCCAUCCAUAUGCUGCAGAUUUGAUGGUUUAAACCACCCUGCUCACUUGUCAUAUGCUAUUUCUAAGCUAUUAUAUAGUUAGUCUUAAUUAUACACCAUUAAAACAGAAAAGAGGUUCAAGCCCAGAGAACACAUCGUCUUCACAAUAAUUGUAGACUCCUUGCUCUGCCUGCAUAGGCCAUUCUGAUGCAGAAUUAAGCCAGUAAUUCUGAUCAUUCCAUGGCUGGAGUGAUUCAGGAUGUGUUGGUACUUCAGGAUGUACCUCCUUUGGAAUCCCAUCAACUGGGAGAUUUUCUGUAGUAGUGGAAGUGAUAGGGCAACUCGUUUCACCUUCACCAAGGAAUGAAUUAUUACCCUUCUGAUUUUCAAUAUCAGAAUCACCCAUAUUACAUGUCUGCGUGCUGCCCUUAUCGUCUGGCUUCUUCAUUAAUUUGCAGAGAACGAACGCAUUCUGGUUAGGCAGAUUAAAAGUUGCACAAUAUUCGUGCAUGAUCCACCUGGUCCUUUUCCCCCUAGGAUUGCGACCUGUAUAGAAAACUAGACUUCUUUUCUUACCAAUCACUUCACUUGCAUCCUUUAUCAUACGUUCCCUUCCAGUGGCUUUCCAGUAUCCAGCUUCUGUAGUCCUGCUGGGCCUUCCAUUAUUGCGUGGACAGAAGAAAUACCAAUAUGGAUUGCCUAAAUCUGUUCCAAAAUGCUGCGGUAAAUCCCAGGGCUCAAAUUUGUAGAUGUUAAGUUGAGGGAUUUUACGGACUCGUUGAUCAUAGCCAAGCAACUUCAGCUUAAGAAAAUGAUUAACCAACUCCUUGUCAUUUGGACGGAAUCCCUCUCCAACCUCAUGCGAUAAUCCUGAAGGCAGAGUCGUGCUUGUCAUCUUCCCAAGUCACUAUGCCAAUCGCAGCAAUAAAUGGACUUGAAAGAAGCACUGGAAGCUGGUGUUUGAGUGCCUGUCUAGUAGUACGAUACUCGUGGGAUGACUCACACAAUCAGAGGUAUCUGUUUCAUUCCUCUUCCUGAAAUGGGUAUCAGAGAUGAUAUGAAUAGGUUUAAUUGUGAGUCAGAAUGGUAACAUUUCAGGGAGGAAGGUGCAGGUGAGGUUUG